rnacentral:ncRNA from 2 species
GGCAAUAACAGGUCUGUGAUG